GAUGUUCUAACCCUUUGUUGUCCGACUCUGUUGCCUCCGGGGCGACCCUGCCUUCGGGCGGGGGCUCCGGGUGGACACUUCAAACUCUUGCGUAACUUUGCAGUCUGAGUAAACUUAAUUAAUAAAUUAAAACUUUUAACAACGGAUCUCUUGGUUCUGGCAUCGAUGAAGAACGCAGCGAAAUGCGAUAAGUAAUGUGAAUUGCAGAAUUCAGUGAAUCAUCGAAUCUUUGAACGCACAUUGCGCCCCCUGGUAUUCCGGGGGGCAUGCCUGUUCGAGCGUCAUUUCACCACUCAAGCCUCGCUUGGUAUUGGGCAACGCGGUCCGCCGCGUGCCUCAAAUCGACCGGCUGGGUCUUCUGUCCCCUAAGCGUUGUGGAAACUAUUCGCUAAAGGGUGUUCGGGAGGCUACGCCGUAAAACAACCCCAUUUCUAAGGUUGACCUCGGAUCAGGUAGGGAUACCCGCUGAACUUAAGCAUAUC
rnacentral:rRNA from 1 species